ACACGGGGGGCGCAAGCGUUAUUCGGAAUUAUUGGGCGUAAAGGGCGUGUAGGCGGUUUUAUCGGUCAGAUGUGAAAGCCCAGGGCUCAGCCCUGGACGUGCAUUUGAAACAGUAAGACUUGAGUACGGUAGAGGAAAGCGGAAUUCCUGGUGUAGAGGUGAAAUUCGUAGAUAUCAGGAGGAACACCGAUGGCGAAGGCAGCUUUCUGGACCGAAACUGACGCUGAUGCGCGAAGGCGUGGGUAGCGAACAGGAUUAGAAACCCUAGUAGUCC
rnacentral:rRNA from 1 species